GAAUGAGUCUGUGUGACGAGGAAUACACCGUAGAUCAACUCUACGAUAUUUCACUCCAUCCCGACAAACUGAAGUCCUAUCCUGGUUUCCAAAACUUGCACAAAUUGACGUCUGGUACUAUUACUUUUCACUACGAUCUACCAUACGAUGAUAUAAAGGAAUUUGUAGAGGAGGAGAAGAAAACUAUUUUAAGUAAAGUCCCGGAGGAUGUGAUAAAAAGCAAUGGAGUAAAGUGGGAGCAUGUCGGAUCUACUUCCAUUAAAGGUAUGCCAGGCACAAUAUUUCCAGAUUCCUUAAUCCUUUUUGACUGCCUGCCGAUUCCAAAACCUAUUUUCACUGCCCUGAUGGAUUCAGGAUUCUCGUUCGUCGGCUCCAGUUUUCAUCACCAAGAUGAUAUUUGGUUCAUAAAGCAGAUAACUAGAGAUGGAUCUAGACUGGACAAACAAUUCUUCAUAAUACACGUUACCCCAGCAACCUUAGGGCUAUCAAGAGUUUUGGUUGAAACCAGAGACAGAUGCAAUGAAAAUCAAACAGAUUUUGAGACCUAUAAGGAGGCAAAAGUGAAAGCAGCAAAACUCUUGAUGGAAGAAAACGUUAUCGGUUACAAGAUUGAAAAAGGAUCAAACAAGCUUUUUGCAGAGCUUAAUGAAAAUAAUCCAAACUAUUCUGUGCAGGGAAAGUAAACCUCAGAGCAGUAUGACAAAUCACCCGCGACAGGAUGAAGGAUAAUUAAUUUCAAACUAACAUGUUUUAAAAUUUUAUAUAAAGUUGAUUAAUGUGUCGUGUAGGAUAUAUUUAUGAGUCAAUACUUCACAUUGGAAGUUUCAUCUUAGACUGAUUUGGAUUUCUAUUUUCGCCACUGCGAAAAUCCAAAUUUUGAUUUACUUUGGUUUGAAAAGUUGCUAAUAUAUCAAAGUUAUUUUUAAUAUGUAUUUUAACAUGUAAUAAUUUAUCUACAAAUUAUAACAAA